rnacentral:rRNA from 1 species
UGAGUAAUGUCUGGGAAACUGCCUGAUGGAGGGGGGAGUAACUACUGGAAACGGUAGCUAAUACCGCAUAACGUCGCAAGACCAAAGAGGGGGACCUUCGGGCCUCUUGCCAUCGGAUGUGCCCAGAUGGGAUUAGCUAGUAGGUGGGGUAACGGCUCACCUAGGCGACGAUCCCUAGCUGGUCUGAGAGGAUGACCAGCCACACUGGAACUGAGACACGGCCCAGACUCCUACGGGGAGGCAGCAUG